rnacentral:rRNA from 1 species
AUGGACGCCAAUGACGAUGCCAAUGGUUUCUGCUUCCCCUAUGACGUGCUCCUCGAGAUCCUCCAUCGCCUCCCAGCUCGCGCCCUCGCUGACUCCCGGCGCGUCUGCCACGCGUGGCGCACCAUCAUCGACGCCCACAGCCUCCUCCUUCCCCACGCCUUCCCGCGCGAGUUCCCUGGCAUCUACACUAUCAUCUACUAUGGAUUCACAUCUGACUCUGCCUUGUUCGUCCGGCCUAUGUCACAGUCGGAUGAGCCUGGCUAUCGACGCCCUUUCAGCUGGGGCGAUUGGGGCAUGUGCACACAACAACACUGCAAUGGCCUCUUCCUUGUCCGGGAUAGUUACCACCUGGAAUAUGCCAAUGAAAUGUACGCGUGCAACCCAACGACAGUACGGGCUGCCCAUCUGCCAAGGCCUCCGACACCGUGGCCAUGCAAUGUUGAGGGAAUGUUUCUCGCCUUCGACCCGGCCAUGUCACGGUAUCACAAGGUAUUCCUCCUUCCUUCAAAGAAAGUACCCUACCGUUGGUUCACCGAAAAAGAGCAGUGGGAUUUAGAAGAGGAAGAAUCCUAUGGUUUUGCUAGCCAGUUUGGUGAGCUCGAUGGCAAGGCAAUAAAGAUGCUGCCUUUGCUGGUGUUCUCGUCACAAACUGGGCAAUGGGAGGACAAGAAGUUUGCACCUGGGCGUUGCGCCCCAGGGCACAUCUAUGACGUGGUGACCACACCGCGUGGUUUCAAAAGGUUGGCAUGGUCAGCCGAGUACUGGCAUGGAUCGCUCUAUGUGCAUUGUCACAGUGGCGUCCUCUUGAUCUUGCGUUGCUCAGAAGGGGUGUACGACAUGGUCCAAUUGCCAGGGGAUUUGGCUCCGUAUGAUGACGAAGAGGAUAAGGAGUCAUGGGACCUUCCCAAGAGAUCUGUUUUAGCGAGCUAUGAGAGAGGGGUUUGCUAUGUGACCCUCAACAAGUACCAUCUCAUGGUAUGGGCACUGAUAGAAUCUACCGACGGUCAACUUGAGUGGACGUUGGCACACGAGGCCGACCUUAGACCGCAUAGUCGUAGUAUGGAAUCUUUGAAGAGAAAAGCAAGACCGAGGAUGAAAAUGGAAUGGGAGCUGGUCGAAACGGAUGAAAAACUAAUUAGCUUGUCAGGACAAAGCAGUAAUGAGGAAAUUGAUGAGGAUCAUGAUACUGGAGAGGAAGAAUACAACGAAGGCGAGGUCGAAGAAGUGGAGAGGAGUAGUGAGGAAGAUGACAAGAAUGAUGAUAUUGGAGAAGAAAGUAACGAUGACGAGGCCGAAGAACUUGGGAGCGGAGAGGGCUCCGUGUACUCAUGGAACUCGGACGAGCACAACUUCAUCGACUUAGACGAAAGUGAUACCACCGACUUAGAGGGAUACUUGUUCAGGAUCAUUGGUUUACAUCCGCACAAGGAUGUGCUUCUCCUAAAUUUUUGCUCAUGUGUGGUGGCAUAUCAUCUUGGUACCUCGAGAAUGCAGUACUUAGGUCACAUUUUUCCUAAACAACUGACACAGAAUGCUGCAAACGUCCGUUGUGCCUUCCCUUAUCGCCCUUGCUACUUCGAUGCGCUCCCUCAGAGGAAGUCCCAACCAUCUUAA